rnacentral:tRNA from 5 species
GGGCGCUUAGCUCAGCUGGGAGAGCAACUGGUUUACACCCAGUAGGUCGGCAGUUCGAUCCUGUCAGCGCCCACCA